GAAUACCGAUUGCGAAGGCGAUCUACUGGAACAUUACUGACGCUCAGAUGCGAAAGCGUGGGGAGCAAACAGGAUUAGAUACCCUGGUAGUCCACGCCCUAAACGAUGUACACUAGUUGUUGCUAUACUAGAUAUGGCAGUAAUGCAGUUAACACUUUAAGUGUACCGCCUGGGGAGUACGGUCGCAAGAUUAAAACUCAAAGGAAUAGACGGGGACCCGCACAAGCGGUGGAGCAUGUGGUUUAAUUCGACGAUACGCGAAAAACCUUACCUGGCCUUGACAUAGUAGGAAUCUUUAAGAGAUUAGAGAGUGCUAGCUUGCUAGAACCUACAUACAGGUGCUGCACGGCUGUCGUCAGCUCGUGUCGUGAGAUGUUGGGUUAAGUCCCGCAACGAGCGCAACCCACGUGAUUAGUUGCUAACGGUUCGGCCGAGAACUCUAAUCAGACUGCCUUCGUAAGGAGGAGGAAGGUGUGGACGACGUCAAGUCAUCAUGGCCCUUACGGCCAGGGCUACACACGUGCUACAAUGGGAUAUACAAAGAGUCGCAAUACCGCGAGGUGGAGCAAAUCUAGAAAAUAUCUCCCAGUUCGGAUUGUUCUCUGCAACUCGAGAACAUGAAGUUGGAAUCGCUAGUAAUCGUGGAUCAGCAUUGCCACGGUGAAUACGUUCCCGGGUCUUGUACUCACCGCCCGUCACACCAUGGGAGUUGAUUUCAUUCGAAGCGGGGAUGCUAAAGUAGCUACCUUCCACAAUGGGAUUAGCGACUGGGGUGAAGUCGUAACAAGGUAACC
rnacentral:rRNA from 1 species